rnacentral:tRNA from 1 species
UCCCCGGUAGCUCAGUGGUAGAGCAGGUGGCUGUUAACCACCCCGUCGCUGGUUCAAGUCCGGCCCGGGGAG